CAGUAGCCGCGGUAAUACGUAGGUGGCAAGCGUUGUCCGGAAUUAUUGGGCGUAAAGGGCUCGCAGGCGGUUUCUUAAGUCUGAUGUGAAAGCCCCCGGCUCAACCGGGGAGGGUCAUUGGAAACUGGGAAACUUGAGUGCAGAGGAGGAGAGUGGAAUUCCACGUGUAGCGGUGAAAUGCGUAGAGAUGUGGAGGAACACCAGUGGCGAAGGCGACUCUCUGGUCUGUAACUGACGCUGAGGAGCGAAAGCGUGGGGAGCGAACAGGAUUAGAUACCCCCGUAGUCCCUGUCUCUUAUAC
rnacentral:rRNA from 1 species